AUAUUCCUACGGGGCGCAGCAGUAGGGAAUUUUCGUCAAUGGGCGCAAGCCUGAACGAGCGAUGCCGCGUGAGUGAAGAAGGCCUUCGGGUCGUAAGGCUCUGUUGCGGGGGAAAAAAGGCAUCUGCAGGAAAUGGCAGAUGACAGAUGGUGCCCCGCCAGAAAGUCACGGCUAACUACGUGCCAGCAGCCGCGGUAAUACGUAGGUGGCGAGCGUUAUCCGGAAUGAUUGGGCGUAAAGGGUGCGCAGGCGGUCCUGCAAGUCUGGAGUGAAACGUAUGAGCUCAACUCAUGCAUGGCCCUGGA
rnacentral:rRNA from 1 species